rnacentral:ncRNA from 2 species
GUAACGGCGAGCGAACCGGGA